UACGUAGGGGGCUAGCGUUGUCCGGAUUUAUUGGGCGUAAAGAGCGUGUAGGCGGCCAGGUAGGUCUGCUGUGAAAACUCGAGGCUCAACCUCGAGACGUCGGCGGAAACCAUCUGGCUAGAGUCCGGAAGAGGAGAGUGGAAUUCCUGGUGUAGCGGUGAAAUGCGCAGAUAUCGAGAGGAACACCUGCGGCGAAGGCGGGUUGCUGGGCCGCCACUGACGCUGAGGCGCGAAAGCCAGGGGAGCGAACGGG
rnacentral:rRNA from 1 species